UAUUAUAAUAAAACCCACUGGCAGUUCCCCCACAUCCCUCCACCUCUUCACUAGGUGUUGUCAGGUAGCAGCCGGUCAAGAGGCGCGCCACGCCGGCUGUCCACGUCACUACAGGUCGGGGAUGCAGCGGCCUGUCUUGUUGCCUGGCUAACUUUAAAAUGGCGGUGAAUGCUAGCUAGCUCGCUAGCAACGCAAUUCGCUUGAGGGAGUGUGAAAUCGUUUCAGUCAGGUUUCUGAGGCGUCAAGGUGGCUUAGUUCAGAAUGAUGCAUACCAUGUUCCCAUGACGUCAGGAGGCUAAUCCAAGUCACGACCUUUUGCUAGUGAGUCCCUUCUUCUCUCGCUCAUCUUUCUGGUAUCUAUCAACAAAACUGUAAAUAAUAAAAUCGGUGAGGCUAUAUUGUAAUUCUUUAAGACCUUCCUGGUGUCUUGGACAUUUCGAAAAACAUAUUUUAUCCGUACAGUGGGUAAAAGGAACAAAAACAAAAAAUACAUUUGUCACUACUUUAUUACACUGAUUAAUAUACAAAAGUUAAUCUGGUCUACAGAGGAUACAGGGAAGCAUGACUUAGGCACACGGAUGGCUGCAGAUAAUUGGUAAUUUCAAAAGUGGCUGUUAUGUGUGCAAUUAGUCUGUACUGAUUUAAUUCAUGCAUUAUUCUAGCGGUAUGCACUUUUAAGCCAUGUCAUACUUUUGUUUAGAAAAACAUAAAAAAGGCACUUGUGUGGCGACAAAUAUAAUACUUGAAAAUCUCAUCACAAUGUCAACAUGUUACCUCUAAUAAAAUUGAUUUGCUCAAUAUGUCAUUGUCUCUUGUAUGGAGGUAAUAUCAUGCCAAA